rnacentral:rRNA from 1 species
CCUACGGGAGGCAGCAGUAGGGAAUCUUUCACAAUGGGCGAAAGCCUGAUGCAGCAACGCCGCGUGCAGGAUGAAGGCCUUCGGGUUGUAAACUGCUUUUAUAAGCGAGAAAUAUGAUGGUAACUUAUGAAUAAGGAUCGGCUAACUACGUGCCAGCAGCCGCGGUCAUACGUAGGAUCCGAGCAUUAUCCGGAGUGACUGGGUGUAAAGAGUUGCGUAGGUGGAAUAAUAAGUAGCUAGUGAAAUCUGGUGGCUCAACCAUUCAGACUAUUAGCUAAACUGUUAAGCUCGAGACCGUUAGGGGUAACUGGAAUUUCUAGUGUAGGAGUGAAAUCCGUAGAUAUUAGAAGGAACACCAAUAGCGUAGGCAGGUUGCUGGGACGGUUCUGACACUAAGGCACGAAAGCGUAGGGAGCAAACGGGAUUAGAUACCCGAGUAGUC